UCCCUGGUAGCUUAGAGGUUAAAGCGUCUGCCUGCAAUGCAGAAGGCCCGGGUUCAAUCCCUGGGUUGGGAA
rnacentral:tRNA from 1 species